CUUCGAGAAACCCCCAUUAACCCGAAAAUCACACGUUUUCUAUUCGGAAAUCUAUUGUUUAACCCAAAAAAUCACGCGGUCUUUCUUUGCAAAUCCCCCAUUUAAGCAAAAAUCAAGCAUUUUCUCAUCGGAAAUCCCCCAUUUAAGCGAAAAUCACGCGAUUUCUCUUCGAGAAUCCCCCAUUUAGACCGAAAAUCACGCGUUUUCUCUUUGACAAUCCCCCAUUUAAGAGAAAAUCACGCGUUUUCUCUUUGACAAUCACCCAUUUAACUUGCAAAUCACACGUUUUCUCUUUGGAAAUCCGCCAUUUAACUGAAAAUCACGCGUUUUCUCUUCGAGAAUCCCCCAUUUAACUGAAAAUCACGUGUUUUCUCUUCGCAAAUCCACCAUUUAGCCCGAAAAUCACGCGCUUCCUAUUCGCAAAUCCUACAUUUAAGUGAAAAUCACGCGUUUUCUCUUCGAGAAUCCCCCAUUUGACCCAAAAAUCACGCGUUUUCUCUUCGGAAAUUCCCCAUUUAACCCGAAAAUCACGCGUUUUCUCUUCGACAAUCCCCCAUUUAACCAAAAAAUCACGCAUUUUCUCUUCACAAAUCCCCCAUUUAAACCCGAAAAUCACGCGUUUUCUCUUCGAGAAUCCCCCAUUUUAGUGAAAAUCACGUGGUUUCUCUUCGAGAAUCCCCCAUUAAACCCAAAAAUCACACGUUUUCUCUUCAAGAAUCUCCCAUUUAAGAGAAAAUCAUGCUUUUUCUCUUUGAUAAUCACCCAUUUAAGAGAAAAUCACGCGGUUUCUACUUGGAAAUCCACCAUUUAAGAAAAAAUCACGCGUUUUUUCUUCGACAAUCCCCCUUUUAACCCGAAAAUCACGCGCUUCCUAUUCGCAAAUCCCACAUUUAAGUGAAAAUCACGCGUUUUCAUUUCAACAAUCCCCCAUUUAACCCAAAAAUCACGCGUUUUCUCUUCAAGAAUCCCCCAUUUAGACCAAAAAA
rnacentral:lncRNA from 1 species